rnacentral:rRNA from 1 species
GACGAACGCUGGCGGCGUGCUUAACACAUGCAAGUCGAGCGGUAAGGCCCUUUCGGGGGUACACGAGCGGCGAACGGGUGAGUAACACGUGGGUGACCUGCCCUCAGCUCUGGGAUAAGCCUGGGAAACCGGGUCUAAUACUGGAUAUGACUCCAUGACGCAUGUUGUGGGGUGGAAAGCCUUGUGCGGCUGAGGAUGGGCCCGCGGCCUAUCAGCUUGUUGGUGGGGUGANGGCCUACCAAGGCGACGACGGGUAGCCGGCCUGAGAGGGCGGCCGGCCACACUGGGACUGAGACACGGCCCAGACUCCUACGGGAGGC